CCGCUUGAAGAGGGGGUCGCGGCUGAUUAGCUAGUUGGUAGGGUAAUGGCCUACCAAGGCGAUGAUCGGUAGCCGGCCUGAGAGGGCGCACGGCCACACUGGAACUGAAACACGGUCCAG
rnacentral:rRNA from 1 species